ensembl:lncRNA
UACUUCUGGCAGUAAUUCUAAAGUACUGCCCAUACAAUACCACUUACAGCCAGACAAUUCUACACUGUAGGGAUCCGAACACUUAAAAUAGCAGUGCAGCCUUCAUUAGCAGCAAUGAGAUUUCAUGGAAACCCCCUACAUGUCCCUUUUGACGCACUAGCAAGCCAACAUGCUAGCUCCUGUAUCCAUUUAUGCAGUUAAAACCUUUUGCAAUGAAUGCCUGAUAACAGGUUUAGUACUUUAAAUCAGCUGAGAGGAAAUAUUAGCCAGUAGAGCCUAGCCAUUAUUUCAAGCUUGUUAUGUUAAAUUAUGUUGAUAGUUAUUACUUUUGCUUUUUGCAAGUCCUUUCAAGUCUUCAGAUUUACUGCAAAAGGUCUUCAGUACUUUUCACCAUACAGCAGUGGAUUCACUUUCUGUUGUUUUUUAUAAAUGAAGCUGGAAUCAAAUAGGGUCUGUGACACUGAAGGUGACUGUCUCUAUGGCUUUCCUCCAAGACGGGCUUCAUGUGGGUUCUCCCUAGUCCUUUCAGUCAGAAUGAUUCAGACCCUUUAUCAAACUGUUUAAGAGUUUUGCCUGGAGAGGUGUGCUGGGCACGCCACUGAACCCCUCUUAGGAAAAGGUAUACUGAUUGUAACCUUCCCCACAAAGAACAGACAUUGUCAACCCAGAAAGCUGUUUGUUGAGUGGAUAUCUUCACACAGCCUUGUAUUAUAUUCCUAUAGGUAUUUCUUUUCCAGUAUAAAAUGAUUUUACCUAGAGGUUUACCAUUUUUCAUUGCAGGAAGAUUACUGCUUUAGAUUUGCUUGUGUAAUUCCAGUGAGACAAAUAAUAUAAUCACAGAGAAGUUCUCAGCAACUACUUCCUCUUUUUCUUCAAAUAAUGAGUAAAGAUCAGAGGUUUGUACUCUCCAGCUUCCUAGGGCUAGGGCUUCAAGAAACAGACACAUCAGAAUGGAGUGCCUGUAAUGGAUCAGGUCUUUAAGAUACACGUUUUAUUUCUUUUUUAGUACUUGACAGAUACAUUACUUAUUCAGUCUAUGAGUAUCUUUAUAUACAGAAAAAUGAUGGCUAUGAAAAAUCAGAGUAUACAAAAACAGAGGCUAAAUCAAAUUCUAUGUCUCUCUGUGUUUCUGCUUUUCCUCUCCUGCAUUUUUCCUAUCUUAUGUUCACCAUUUGAUUCUCGGGAUACUAAGGCAGCUUUUAGUGUAGAGUUGUAAAAUACAGAGCAAGUAAUUUCCAACUGAGAUGAGUUAAUAACAGUAAUAAAACAACAACCUACAUAUUUCUCAGCCAAAGAUCUCAAAGCACUCAGAUGAACAGAUGAAUUAGCCCAGACCUUUAAGAAACAAGUUACAAUUAGGGAAGUUGAAGUACAGAAAGGUGGUACAACUGAAAUGUAGCACUAGUGAAACUGAGAGAGUCUUGAUUCCUGUUAACAUUUAUGUCUUUCAAAGGCAAGACUAUAUUGGAUAUAGGUUUGAGAGGGGCAGGCCAAAGUAAAGACAACUAUUUAACCAAAAAUUCAUAAGAACUUCCAACCAAAAGAUUCAUAAGGGCAUCUGGGAAGAGCAAGCUUCUCUUUUGAUUCCUGCAAUACUAUCUGCUUGUUUUUCUUUCCACAAUAUAUACUUGGAAAAUACACUGAGAUGUUUCACUCCAGUUGUCCAGUGCAAUAGGCGUCUUUGAAAGGAAGGGGAUGCAUCUAAAAUACUCUUCAUAACUCAUAUAUUCUAGGCAUUGUCUGCCUCAAAGGUAUAGGUUUCUGCCCUUUAUGAUGUGGAAAUAAUUUGAAUGGGUUGAAAAACAACAGAUUCUUUGGAAUUCCAUAUACUUUUAAAAACUAUUACCAGGGAAAAUUAUUAUAGGCAUUAAAGGAAGAAGACAUAUAGGACUAGAGGUGACAUCUUUCAUAGAAGUUUCUGAAACUUUUCGUUUCUAACUGAACUCCAAGAUCUUUUCCCUAAGACCUCUCUCACAUCUGCUUGAUGUGAAGAAGGCUGGACUGAUUCUCCUCUCCUCCUGCUGAAGCUGGAUGACUCCAGCAAUGACUACCAGAUUUACGGGAAUUGGAAAUACACAUCUAGGUUUGUUAAGCACCUAAAAAGGAAAUUUGGUUUCUAGUGCUACGUCCAGAUCUUUUACAACUAAGCACUCCCUAUAUUAAAUGUUUAAAGCAUCUAGGUAAAGAGAAUUAAGUUUAGCCUUCACAUGCAUAGCUGAAUACCAUGAUCACUUGCUACAGAGGACUACAAGAGUCUUGGCAACUUCAGCAGAGAGAUAAGAAAGUAUUUGCUUGUAGCCUAGAAAGCAGCAUUUUGGCUGAGGUUAUCUAAUGUAUGGCAGAAGGAUCACCUUAUGCUUAGGGUUUUGAAUUCACAUUUGAAUGAGUGCUCUUGGUACUAUAAAAGACAGACACCACCAUGGUUAAGAGUGUCUUUUGUAAGAAGCAGCACUAAUGGAUCCAGUCAUUCAGGAGACACAUCCAUUCACACAAACCUGCUCCAAGGCAGGUGUAUUUUGCCCCUAUAUAUCUGCAACUAUACAUGAGCAGAACUGCCCAGGCUGAACAGUUUGUGAUUUUACUGGCUACCAGGGACUAGACUUGAAAAACAAAAUGUUCUUCAUUAGAUCAAAUAAAUCCUAGCUAAAGUAUAUAGUUGAGAUGUAACAGUCAAAGCCAGAUAUAAAAGUUAUGUGAGACCAAAUCCCAGUAAUAGUGUUGCACCUAAGAGCCUUAACUAUGAUAUUAAAUGGACAAGUUCUCUGUUGAAUUAAGCCCUCAGAAAAGAAAGCAAGCUGCAUCCUGUGCUGAUUUGAAACAUUGAAAUUAAUGAGUCCAGAGUGGCUGAGAUUUAGUCUUACCAUUAAUGUUCUUUAUGGCGAUUGUAAAUUUUAAUAAAGUCAGAUACAGUUAUUGC